rnacentral:lncRNA from 10 species
UUUGAAACUUAGAUGGAACUAUUGGGACUAGAAGCUAUCUUUACAGACAUGGGCCCAUGGCUGCCUGCAGACAAUUUGGUACCUCAUGAGGACAACCUGUCCCAGGGUGAGGCCAAUACAGAGGAGAUCCAAACUGGGAUAUGAUCAAGGAGCAUUUGAGUGGCUGGAGCUAGCCAUGUCUGAAGCUGACAUAACUUGCCAAUCACCAGUGCUGGCUGGUGAUCUCACCUUGCCUUCCGAAUUCACAGCUUCUCAUCCGUUUCACUGGGCCCGCUCGCCUUCAGACCCACCUACCCCCUGCCUCAACCAUCACCAUGGCGGUUUCUCACUGGCCAACCCCCAAGUUCAGCCCUGGCCCUGGCUAAUCUGCUUCUACUCUUUGAUAGAGGAACUUACUGAAAAUGUAAACUUGAUGGGGUGGUCCACCGCCUAACCACAGGCUCCUCAGCAUCCCAAGAAAAGGCCCAAAUUCCUCACUGUGGCAUGCAAGGCACUUUGUUGUCUUGGACUGUUUUGUGCUGCUGUAACAGAAACCUGAAAUUGGGUAAUUUAUAAUUAACAUAAAUGUAUUGGUUCAUAAUUCUGAAGGCUGGGAAGUUCAAGAUCAAGGGGCUGGCAACUGGUAAGGGCCUUCUUGUUGUGUUAUCCCAUGGCAGAAGGGCAAAGAAAGAGCAAGAGAUCAAACUUGCAGCCUCAAACCAUUUUAUAACCAGCAUUAAUCCAUUCAUGAGCGUGGAGCCCGCAUGAUCUAAACACCUCCCACUGGGCCCUGCCUCUCAACACUGUUGCUUUGGGGAUUAAGUUUCCAACACAUGCAUUUUGGGGUGACCCAAGCCUGGCAGUGGUCCAAGCCUAGCUUCCCAGGCCAGAUCAUUUCUCUGUCACUUCUGCUGUAACCCUCUAAAAACAGAGAACUGGCUGUAGUCCUCCACUCACCCCCACUCUGCUAUUUCUUGACUCGACUUUUGCUCAUGCAGUGAUUUCUUACACCACUAGACUCAGUUCAGGUGUGACCUCACCCAGAGAGCCAUCUCCAAAGCAGAAUCAGGUGCCUCUCUCAGGUCCUCUUGAAGCACACUCUGGCCCCUUUCGCAUGGCACUUCUCACCCGUAUGUUAAUUAUUCAUAUAUGCAUGUAUCUGUUCUCCCACCAGACUGUGAGCUCCAUAUGGAUGAGCACUUGAUUUCUCCCACCACAGUGUCUGCAGAACACAGAGACAGCUCUGUCUCUCUCUUGAUCCAUGUGUUUUGGGAGAUCUGGCCCCACUUCCUAUCUCCAUGAAAUUUCAGUGUUACCCUGGGUUUUUUUUUGUUUUUUUUUUUGAGACAGAGUCUCUCUCUGUUGCCCAGGCUGGAGUGCAAUGAUGCGAGCUCAGCUCACUGCAACCUCCACCUCCUGGGUUCAAGCGAUUCUCCUGCUUCAGCCUCCCCAAUAGCUGGGAUUACAGGUGUGUGCCACCAUGCCCAGCUAAUUUUUGUAUUUUUAGUAGAGAUGGGGUUUUACCAUGUUGGCCAAGCUGGUCUUGAACUCCUGACCUCAAGUAAUCCGCCUCGGCCUCCCAAAGUGCUGGGAUUACAGGUGUGAGCCAUUGCGCCCUGCCUCAUCCUGGCUUUUAAGUCAGUCAGUAGGAAUGGUCAUUAGGUCUGGGACGUUUUGUUCAAACUCUUGGGAAAGAAAGGCUGUCUUCUCAGCUUGACUUGGCAUUGUGAGACUAUGAAGCUAACGAGACUGCUGCCACCUCACCAUCUUCAGGAGUUGGCCCAUGUAAGAAUGGGAGCCAAGAAAAGAAAAGAAUAAAUACUGAGUUCUGACGACACCAUCUGAGCUCCACAAAACGGGCAUCUCUCCUCCAUUGGACUUCCCUUUUGUAUGCAUCCAAUGGAAGGGAGAAAACUCAUCUUCUCUUCGCAACUGGAGUUUUCUCAUCAUCUAG